rnacentral:rRNA from 1 species
AUACGGGGGGUGCAAGCGUUACUCGGAAUCACUGGUCGUAAAGCGCGCGCAGGCGGCUAUUUAAGUUGGAUGUGAAAGCCUACGGCUCGACCGUAGAACUGCAUCCAAAACUAUUUAGCUAGAGUGUGGGAGAGGAAGAUGGAAUUAGUUGUGUAGGGGUAAAAUCCGUAGAGAUAACUAGGAAUACCAAAAGCGAAGGCAAUCUUCUGGAACACUACUGACGCUGAGGCGCGAAAGCGUGGGGAGCAAACGGGAUUAGAAACCCUAGUAGUCC